CGCCACUCAAUAUAUAUUCACAGUCAGCACUUGUGACAGCACUGAAGCUUUUGCUUUGGCUAAUCGCUAGCCCACAAGAAUCACUUGUUCUUCCCAAUCGUUUCUUCUGAAGUAUCAGGCGUUUAAGCAGCAGUUUAGCCAUUCCCUUCCAGGGACACAUGAGCUUCACUAGAAUUCUUUUACUAUUGCUAUUUGAAACUGCUAAGACCAGGAAGGA
rnacentral:misc_RNA from 1 species